UACGGAGGGAGCUAGCGUUGUUCGGAAUUACUGGGCGUAAAGCGCACGUAGGCGGCUUUGUAAGUUAGAGGUGAAAGCCCGGGGCUCAACUCCGGAACUGCCUUUAAGACUGCAUCGCUUGAAUCCAGGAGAGGUGAGUGGAAUUCCGAGUGUAGAGGUGAAAUUCGUAGAUAUUCGGAAGAACACCAGUGGCGAAGGCGGCUCACUGGACUGGUAUUGACGCUGAGGUGCGAAAAGCGUGGGGAGCAAACAGG
rnacentral:rRNA from 1 species